rnacentral:rRNA from 2 species
AAACGACUCUCGGCAACGGAUAUCUCGGCUCACGCAUCGAUGAAGAACGUAGCAAAAUGCGAUACUUGGUGUGAAUUGCAGAAUCCCGUGAACCAUCGAGUUUUUGAACGCAAGUUGCGCCCGAAGCCAUCCGGUCGAGGGCACGCCUGCCUGGGCGUCACG